GAUGAACGCUGGCGGCGUGCCUAAUACAUGCAAGUCGAGCGAAUGGAUUAAGAGCUUGCUCUUAUGAAGUUAGCGGCGGACGGGUGAGUAACACGUGGGUAACCUGCCCAUAAGACUGGGAUAACUCCGGGAAACCGGGGCUAAUACCGGAUAACAUUUUGAACCGCAUGGUUCGAAAUUGAAAGGCGGCUUCGGCUGUCACUUAUGGAUGGACCAGCGUCGAAUUAGCUAGUUGGUGAGGUAACGGCUCACCAAGGCAACGAUGCGUAGCCGACCUGAGAGGGUGAUCGGCCACACUGGGACUGAGACACGGCCCAGACUCCUACGGGAGGCAGCAGUAGGGAAUCUUCCGCAAUGGACGAAAGUCUGACGGAGCAACGCCGCGUGAGUGAUGAAGGCUUUCGGGUCGUAAAACUCUGUUGUUAGGAAAGAACAAGUGCUAGUUGAAUAAGCUGGCACCUUGACGGUACCUAACCAGAAAGCCACGGCUAACUACGUGCCAGCAGCCGCAGUAA
rnacentral:rRNA from 1 species